GACGAACGCUGGCGGCGUGCUUAACACAUGCAAGUCGAACGGAAAGGCCCUGCUUUUGUGGGGUGCUCGAGUGGCGAACGGGUGAGUAACACGUGAGUAACCUGCCCUUGACUUUGGGAUAACUUCAGGAAACUGGGGCUAAUACCGGAUAGGAGCUCCUGCUGCAUGGUGGUGGUUGGAAAGUUUCGGCGGUUGGGGAUGGACUCGCGGCUUAUCAGCUUGUUGGUGGGGUAGUGGCUUACCAAGGCUUUGACGGGUAGCCGGCCUGAGAGGGUGACCGGCCACAUUGGGACUGAGAUACGGCCCAGACUCCUACGGGAGGCAGCAGUGGGGAAUAUUGUACAAUGGGCGGAAGCCUGAUGCAGCAACGCCGCGUGCGGGAUGACGGCCUUCGGGUUGUAAACCGCUUUCGCCUGUGACGAAGCGUGAGUGACGGUAAUGGGUAAAGAAGCACCGGCUAACUACGUG
rnacentral:rRNA from 1 species